rnacentral:rRNA from 1 species
AGGACGAACGCUGGCGGCGUGCUUAACACAUGCAAGUCGAGCGGUAAGGCCUUUCGGGGUACACGAGCGGCGAACGGGUGAGUAACACGUGGGUGAUCUGCCCUGCACUUCGGGAUAAGCCUGGGAAACUGGGUCUAAUACCGGAUAUGACCUCCUAUCGCAUGGUGGGUGGUGGAAAGAUUUAUCGGUGCAGGAUGGGCCCGCGGCCUAUCAGCUUGGUUGGUGGGUAAUGGCCUACCGAAGGCGACGACGGGUAGCCGACCUGAGAGGGUGACCGGCCACACUGGGACUGAGACACGGCCCAGACUCCGUACGGGAGGCAGCAGUAGGGAAUAGUUGGACAAGUGGGACGAAAGCCCUAGAUCCGAGCAAUGACCGCGUGAGUGAUGGAAGGCCUUAGGGUUGUAAAGGUCUACGUUUUA